UUUUAGUACAACUUGAAACACCACUUAAUGUUCGUGAAAAAGUACACUUAAAAAUGUAAAUCUGUCAAUAAAAAAACGUAUAGCGCCGUUUGAAAUUACCAUGUAAGUAAGAGGAAAAGCACAAGAUAUCAGGAAAAUACUCAUUCAACCCUAUGCUAUUGAUUUUGCUACAGUCAUGGUAAAUGAGCAAGCAAUGCGUAUACACUUACUGCCAUUCCUUUAAAAUACUGUGUGGAAAGGAUACUAAGAGGCUGCUCGUGAAGAAUGUUUAUUUCAAAAAGUGAAUUAUGUGAAACCAUUAUAAUUCAAUUCAAGAGAAAUAUGAAGACGGAAACUGCUCUGCAGUGUUUGUCUUGCCCAGAGACAGAGUGUGCGAUCUGUAAAGGUUUUCCUGGAAAAUCUGGAUAUAAUGGAGAGACCUCGGGACUCCUGGGAGCUGUCUGGGUGCAGAAGGGCUCUACACGAUUGCCGAAUGGUCUUAAGAUGUCUACAUUUCUCAUAUUGAUUUAAAGGAUUGCAGGGAAGGGAUGGAUGUACAUGCAUACUUUGCUGAACAUGUAAAUAUCUUAUACUUUGUGGAUAUUUUUCAUCUCUCUAUGGUACCUUUUGAUGAAAGAACAAGGUCUUAAUUUAAAUAUGGC
rnacentral:lncRNA from 1 species